AUGGAACUGAAGGACAAGAGCAGAGCAGCAGACUUGAGCACCUGCACACAAACAGCCCCAAGAGCUGGCCCCAGGUGUAUCCUUCUGCCUAAGGAAUCAGAGUAGACCUUGGCACAUCUGAGGACCUUUAAUUGGAUUCGAAAAAUGACCAAUAUAUUUUUUUGUUGUUCCCAAGAAAGGUCUGAUUUUUUGCUUGGGAUCACCCCAUUUGUGUGUUUCUAAGUUAUUAACCUGGCUGUACCUGUGUGAUGAGUCCUGGGCUGGAAAUGCUGGUCCUCUUUGAGCAGUGAGGCUCCUCUCUGUAGGUGGUGUGAAUCAAGGUCAGGCCCUGGAGUGGGCAGACGGAUUUCUUUCUGUCCCUGUUGGUGCAGAGCAGGGCACUGAGAAUUUCACCUGAGCCGGGCAAGGCUCCUAGGCCACCUACACACCAGGAGAUCGCACAAGGAAAUUCCUUGUGUGUUUUCCAGCUACACCCUUUUCACAGUGAUGGAUGUCUUGGUGCAGCCCAGGUCUGGACAUUUAUAGCACUGCGUGAUCUCCAUGCUACUGGAGGAGCUGGUGAGGCUCCAUGACUGGAAAAGCAGGUGUUCCCAGGAGCCAUGCAGCCACCUGCGGGCCAGAACUUGGUGGUUUUUACAAGGGACGGUCUUCAGCAGCAGAAAGAAAAGGCUCAGAGAGGAAGUUUGUUAUCAAACUAGAGCUUGAGCUUGACCCUAAUCUCUGGAGUAGAAGGGGCCACCCAGCAAUGGGCAGAGGCUACAGGAAACCAAAAGAUGACGGCUCUGCCCUGAUGUGUUAG
rnacentral:lncRNA from 1 species